UUGUGCAAUUUACAGGAAUUGUUGUGUGUCUCCUAUAACAACCAAGGACUCCAGCACACACAGUUGCACACUACGGAGCCCCGAAAACAAGUUUUCUAGAUAGGCCAAAUUGAACAAUGCAAACUCAAGAUGAAGAAUCCUGCGAACCAGCACCACGGAACUGUCCCGGAGCAUCAUCAAACGCACGAUAGAGACGUUUGCAUAACACAUCCAUCCCAGGCAGAGUUAGAGAAGAGAUGUGUGCAUUUGUGUCCAGACAUCGCGCCCAAUAACCAAAAUAUUCCGAUUUCUGGAAACGUUUCAUCACGAGCGAAAACAGCCAUGGCAGCCGUAGAGUGGGACCCAUAUGAAACAUCGCAGAAAAGAGAUUUUAUUUAUCGACCCAGUUCAUCAACACCAGUUUUACAUCCUACAACAAUAAGAGCCCAUAGAAACUCCUGUGA